AGAUCUUGCAGUUUUCUCAUUCUUUCACUAAUUCGUGUUCUUCUUACCCUCUCUGCGAUGCUUCGAGGGUGAGUAGCAAAGCCCCUUUUCGCUCGAAUCUUGCAGGGAAUAGAACCUUGAAAUUGCAGAAACUUCUCUACGGUAGCCAUCUCUGCAGCUGUCUUAGGCAAGCUCAGGUGGUGAGUCAGACCCGUCACGCGAUUUCCAGAAUUCUCACUCUGAUUGCCCAUCAUGUAUAGGCCAGAAAACACAUUCUCAUCAUUACUUCUAAACCGCUUAAAGUCAUUCGAUGAAGAAUCAUCCCAUGUGUCAUUUGCAAAAUUCAUGUACUGUCUCUUUCUAGUGUUCCCUUCAGGACUACUUGUACCAGGGUUUUCAUCUCCAAUUUCAGCAAUCUGAGGCAACAGCCUCUGCCCUGAAGGGAAAUUUAGAUGAUUGCUUAACCUACUUUUUGAUGGAUUAGCUUCUCCAUUCAAGCCAUUGCAAGCUCGAAAACCACCCACAUCUUCUGUUACAGUGAAGCCAUUGUCAACGCCUAGGUUGUAGAAAAAUCCAGCUGGAGAGCUGUUUUGCCUAACAAGAUUGGAUCCAUUCACAGUACUCAUCUUUGAAGCCUGCAUAGAUUUCUCCAGAGCCAUUGAAUUCAUAACACCGAAAGUGCUAUCCAGAGAAUUGCUGACAUCCACAGAAUUUCCAUUAUUAGCCAAAUUAUUGACUGGUGAACUUUGAUAAACCAUUUGUGAAUCAUCCAUUUCUUGCUUCAUUGCUGGUCUUUCUCCAUAUUCUUUCCAAUUCUGAGAAUUGGAAUCCCCUGAACCAUUAUAUGUUGACAUAAAUCUUGCCAACAUUGCAUCCAUCUCAGGGCUCGAAGGUCGGAAAUACUGAGAAUCUUCGACUUCAAUGCCACCGCCGCCACCAUUACCCCCAUGGCCACUGGUGCCAUUGACAAGGCUCUCAAUAAAUGAGCUUGGUGCUGACCGAUAACGCAUUAGGCCUGAAUUAUGCUGGUGUUGCUCUUGAUGAUAAUUAUGGUGAUUCAAAUCCAUGAGUUCUUGAUUCCUUCUAAGGAAUCAAGAACUCAUGGAUUUGAAACUAGGACUAUACAAAAGACUCAUGUCUUCUUGUUCUGAGGGUCCCUGAACAGCUAUUAGCAAUUCCAAAUGUAAAUAAUGCUUUGGUAUGCUUGAGCACCAGACCUCUAACCUUUGCUUAAUCUUCAAAGUUGCUUGCUUGUUCUUCAAUAGAAUAAAAU
rnacentral:misc_RNA from 1 species